rnacentral:rRNA from 1 species
CCCAGACUCCUACGGGAGGCAGCAGUGGGGAAUAUUGCACAAUGGGCGAAAGCCUGAUGCAGCAACGCCGCGUGAGCGAUGAAGGCCUUCGGGUCGUAAAGCUCUGUCCUCAAGGAAGAUAAUGACGGUACUUGAGGAGGAAGCCCCGGCUAACUACGUGCCAGCAGCCGCGGUAAUACGUAGGGGGCUAGCGUUAUCCGGAAUUACUGGGCGUAAAGGGAGCGUAGACGGCAGCGCAAGUCUGAAGUGAAAUGCCAGGGCUUAACCCUGGAACUGCUUUGGAAACUGUGCAGCUAGAGUGCAGGAGGGGCAGGCGGAAUUCCUGGUGUAGCGGUGAAAUGCGUAGAUAUCAGGAGGAACACCGGUGGCGAAGGCGGCCUGCUGGACUGCAACUGACGUUGAGGCCCGAAAGCGUGGGGAGCAAACAGGAUUAGAUACCCCGGUA